AUCCCUAUGGCACAGUGGCAGUAUGCUUUACUCUUGUAGAUAGGGUAACUUAUACAUGUCCCAUACAGCAAGUUGUCCUAUAUAGUGUCAGAGAGGUUGGGGGUUCAAUUCCUCCUAGGGGCA